rnacentral:rRNA from 1 species
UACGUAGGGCGCAAGCGUUGUCCGGAAUUAUUGGGCGUAAAGGGCUCGUAGGCGGUUUGUCGCGUCGGGAGUGAAAACCCAGGGCUUAACCCUGGGCUGGCUUUCGAUACGGGCAGACUAGAGGUAUGCAGGGGAGAACGGAAUUCCUGGUGUAGCGGUGAAAUGCGCAGAUAUCAGGAGGAACACCGGUGGCGAAGGCGGGUCUCUGGGCCGAUACUGACGCUGAGGAGCGAAAGCGUGGGGAGCGAACAGG